CUCUCGGCAACGGAUAUCUUGGCUCUCGCAUCGAUGAAGAACGUAGCGAAAUGCGAUACUUGGUGUGAAUUGCAGAAUCCCGUGAACCAUCGAGUUUUUGAACGCAAGUUGCGCCCGAAGCCUUUGGCCAGGGCACGUCUGCCUGGGCGUCACG
rnacentral:rRNA from 3 species